ACUCCUACGGGAGGCAGCAGUGGGGGAACUAUUGCACAAUGGGCGCAAGCCUGAUGCAGCCAUGCCGCGUGUGUGAAGAAGGCCUUCGGGUUGUAAAGCACUUUUCAGCAGUGAGGAAAGGCGGACGUCGUUAAUAGCGGCCUCGUUUGACGUUAGCUGCAGAAGAAGCACCGGCUAACGUCCGUGCCAGCAGCCGCGGUAAUACGGAGGGUGCGAGCGUUAAUCGGAAUUACUGGGCGUAAAGCGCAUGCAGGUGGUUUGUUAAGUCAGAUGUGAAAGCCCGGGGGCUCAACCUCGGAAUAGCAUUUGAAACUGGCAGACUAGAGUACUGUAGAGGGGGGUAGAAUUUCAGGUGUAGCGGUGAAAUGCGUAGAGAUCGUGAAGGAAUACCGGUGGCGAACGGCGGCCCCC
rnacentral:rRNA from 1 species